AUGGCUCACGAUGAACGCUAGCGGCAGGUUUAAUACAUGCAAGUCUUAGGGGCAGCAUGACUGUAGCAAUACAGUUGAUGGCGACCGGCAAACGGGUGCGGAACACGUACAGAACCUUCCUUCGAGCGGGGAAUAGCCCAGAGAAAUUUGGAUUAAUACCCCAUAGUACAACGGAGUGGCAUCACUUUGUUGUUAAAGAUUUAUCACUUGAAGAUGGCUGUGCGGCUGAUUAGGUAGUUGGCGGGGUAACGGCCCACAAGCUGCGAUCAGUAACUGGUGUGAGAGCACGACCAGUCACACGGGCACUGAGACACGGGCCCGACUCCUACGGGAGGCAGCAGUAAGGAAUAUUGGUCAAUGGACCGAAAGUCUGAACCCAGCCCAUGCCCGCGUGGAGGAUGAAGGUCCCUCUGGAUUGUAAACUUCUUUUAUAUGGGACGAAAAAAGGGUUUUCUAACUCGUCUGACGGUACCAUAUGAAUAAGCACCGGCUAACUCCCGUGCCAGCCGCCGCGGUAAUACGGAGGGUGCAAGCGUUAUUCCGGAUUCACCGGGUUUAAAGGGUGCCUAGGUGGGUUGGUGAGUCACUGGUGAAAUCUCC
rnacentral:rRNA from 1 species